CCUACGGGGAGCUGCAGUGAGGAAUAUUGGUCAAUGGACGAGAGUCUGAACCAGCCAAGUAGCGUGAAGGAUGACUGCCCUAUGGGUUGUAAACUUCUUUUAUAUGGGAAUAAAAUGUUCCACGUGUGGGAUUUUGUAUGUACCAUAUGAAUAAGGAUCAGCGAACUCCGUGCCAGCAGCGGCGGUAAUACGGAGGAUCCGAGCGUUAUCCGGAUUUAUUGGGUUUACAGGGAGCGUAGGUGGAUUGUUAAGUCAGUUGUGAAAGUUUGCGGCUCAACCGUAAAAUUGCAGUUGAAACUGGCAGUCUUGAGUACAGUAGAGGUGGGCGGAAUUCGUGGUGUAGCGGUGAAAUGCUUAGAUAUCACGAAGAACUCCGAUUGCGAAGGCAGUUCACUGGACUGCAACUGACACUGAGGCUCGAAAGUGUGGGUAUCAAACAGGAUUAGAUACCCCAGUAGUC
rnacentral:rRNA from 1 species